rnacentral:rRNA from 1 species
AGCGAACGCUGGCGGCAGGCCUAACACAUGCAAGUCGAACGAACCUUUCGGGGUUAGUGGCGGACGGGUGAGUAACACGUGGGAACGUGCCUUUAGGUUCGGAAUAACUCAGGGAAACUUGUGCUAAUACCGAAUGUGCCCUUCGGGGGAAAGAUUAAUCGCCUUUAGAGCGGCCCGCGUCUGAUUAGCUAGUUGGUUGAGGUAAUGGCUCACCAAGGCGACGAUCAGUAGCUGGUCUGAGAGGAUGAUCAGCCACAUUGGGACUGAGACACGGCCCAAAAUCCUACGGGAAGCAGCAGUGGGGAAUCUUGCGCAAUGGGCGAAAGCCUGACGCAGCCAUGCCGCGUGAAUGAUGAAGGUCUUAGGAUUGUAAAAUUCUUUCACCGGGGACGAUAAUGACGGUACCCGGAGAAGAAGCCCCGGCUAACUUCGUG